GUCUACAGCCUUAUGGCCCUGAAUGCACCCAAUCUCGUCUGAUCUUGGAAGCUAAGCAGGGUCGGGCCUGGUUAGUACUUGGAUGGGAAAAUUCCUGCUUUAGGACCAGUGAGGCAGGCAAGGGCAGGGACU
rnacentral:rRNA from 1 species